UCAUACGCGUAUGCUACGCGUACCACUUCCCCAUACGCGUACCAACAGAGACCAAACUACGUUCAAAACAUCAUCUUCCUCAUCCAUACGCGUAUUGCCUAGUGCCAUACGCGUACCAGGCCAUCUCAUACGCGUAUUGCCUAGUGCCAUACGCGUAUGACCAGAAACCAGACUUCCAGAUCUGCUAUGGCUUUCUCUGCUACGAGAUCUAUCCAAUUCAACCUUCCACAGUCCAAUUUUUCACAAUAAUCGUUCAUAUCAUCUAACACGAAUCAUAACCUAUUCGAUCUCACAAUUUCUAACACUAUUGCAUCUAAUUCCUACGAAUUUCCUUCAAUUUUAAUCCAGAUUCGUUCAUCCCAAAAGUUCACAAUUUUCAGCAUAAUUAUUCCAAUCAGAGGUAAAUCAAUGGUUUAUCACUACCCAUGACAUAUUAUCCCAUAAUACCCAUUAAUCGACGAUAAACCCCCCUUACCUGAGUUAAUCCGGCGAAUCUUUAAGCUUCAAGCUUUUCCUUCCUUCGACCCUUGUUCUCUGGCUUUCUUUGCCCUUUU
rnacentral:lncRNA from 1 species